rnacentral:tRNA from 4 species
GGGGCAUUAGCUCAGCUGGGAGAGUGUCACACUGGCAGUGUGAAGGUCAGCGGUUCGAACCCGCUAUGCUCCA